rnacentral:rRNA from 1 species
AGUGAACGCUGGCGGUAGGCCUAACACAUGCAAGUCGAACGGCAGCACAGUAAGAGCUUGCUCUUACGGGUGGCGAGUGGCGGACGGGUGAGGAAUACAUCGGAAUCUACUUUUUCGUGGGGGAUAACGUAGGGAAACUUACGCUAAUACCGCAUACGACCUACGGGUGAAAGCAGGGGAUCUUCGGACCUUGCGCGAUUGAAUGAGCCGAUGUCGGAUUAGCUAGUUGGCGGGGUAAAGGCCCACCAAGGCGACGAUCCGUAGCUGGUCUGAGAGGAUGAUCAGCCACACUGGAACUUAGACACGGUCCAGACUCCUACGGGAGGCAGCAGUGGGGAAUAUUGGACAAUGGGCGCAAGCCUGAUCCAGCCAGACCGCGUGGGUGAAGAAGGCCUUCGGGUUGUAAAGCCCUUUUGUUGGGAAAGAAAAGCAGCAGGUUAAUACCCCGCUGUUCUGACGGUACCCAAAGAAUAAGCACCGGCUAACUUCGUG